rnacentral:rRNA from 1 species
GUGCCAGCAGCCGCGGUAAUACGGAGGAUCCAAGCGUUAUCCGGAUUUAUUGGGUUUAAAGGGUGCGUAGGCGGCCUGUUAAGUCAGGGGUGAAAGACGGUAGCUCAACUAUCGCAGUGCCCUUGAUACUGAUGGGCUUGAAUGGACUAGAGGUAGGCGGAAUGAGACAAGUAGCGGUGAAAUGCAUAGAUAUGUCUCAGAACACCGAUUGCGAAGGCAGCUUACUAUGGUCUUAUUGACGCUGAGGCACGAAAGCGUGGGGAUCAAACAGGAUUAGAUACCCGAGUAGUCC